rnacentral:tRNA from 1 species
GGAGAGAUGCUCGAGUGGUUUAAGAGGCACGCCUGGAAAGCGUGUGUACGCCAAAAGUGUACCGCGGGUUCGAAUCCCGCUUUCUCCGCCA